rnacentral:rRNA from 1 species
UACGUAGGGUGCGAGCGUUGUCCGGAAUUAUUGGGCGUAAAGAGCUCGUAGGUGGUUUGUUACGUCUGCUGUGAAAUCCUAGGGCUUAACCCUGGGCUUGCAGUGGAUACGGGCAGACUAGAGGUAGGUAGGGGAGAAUGGAAUUCCUGGUGUAGCGGUGAAAUGCGCAGAUAUCAGGAGGAACACCAGUGGCGAAGGCGGCUUUCUGGUCCAGUACUGACACUCAAGUGCGAAAGCGUGGGGAGCAAACAGG